rnacentral:rRNA from 1 species
GACGAACGCUGGCGGCGCGCUUAACACAUGCAAGUCGAGCGAGAACCAGGCCUUCGGGCCUGGGGACGAGCGGCGAACGGGUGAGUAACACGUGGGUAAUCUGCCCUCGGUUCCGGAAUAGCCCGGGGAAACCCGGAUUAAUGCCGGAUAGCCUCUUGAGCUUUCGGGCUCUCGAGAAAAGGUAGCUUUGGCCUCUGACCGAGGAUGAGCCCGCGGCGGAUUAGCUUGUUGGCGGGGUAACGGCCCACCAAGGCAACGAUCCGUAGCUGGUCUGAGAGGACGAUCAGCCACACUGGGA